UGCUCUUUAGGGAGUAAUGAAAAAUAAGUGUGUGUUUGGAGCCAUUGUCUGUUUAUUAAUUUUAGUACAUUUUACUGUCUUUUUGAGGAGUCCCUGGUGGUGCAGCAGGUUAAACCACUGAGCUGCUGAACUUGCUAACUAAAAGGUUAGCUGAUCGAACCCGGGGGGCAGGGUGAGCUCCUGUUGUUAGCCCCAGCUUCUGCCAACCUAGCAGUUUAAAAACAUGCAAAUAUGAGUAGAUCAAUAGCUACCGCUCUGGCAGGAAGGUAAUGGCACUUGAUGCAGUCAUGUUGGCCACAUUACCUUGGAGUUGUCUACAGACAACACCACUCUUUGGCUUAGAGAUGGAGAUGAUCACCACCCCCUAGAAUCACACACGACUAAACUUAAUGUCAGGGGAAAACCUUUACCAUAUAGAUAGAUAGAGCUGGAGUCACACUUAAAAAUGUACCUGUUCCAACUUACAUGCAAAUUUAACUUAAGACCAAACCUACAGAACCCAUCUUGUUUGUAUUUUGGUAACUGCCUGUACAUUCUUACUUUUGCUUAAAAAGUUUGCCAAAAUGUAUUCAUGUAAUGGGUUUUGUGUCUUGUUAAGUGAGAUAUAUCUGCAAUGAAAAAAAAGGGGCCUGAAAAAAUAGGGUAGGGCAGACAAACCCAAUAUAUUGGUUGUAUUUAUCUCUUUCUGUAACAUCCUUGCCCGAUUAACUUCUGGAUCCUUAUAGUCUUUCAAUAACUGUGAACUGCAUUGUUACCCUGUAAGAGUCAAUUAUUUUCCAUCUAUUAGUUAGGAGGUCUGCAGCAUCUUGAUAUGAGCCACACCUGUGCUUCUCCUUGAUGCUUUUCUUUUCACCUCACUGGCAGCAGAGAUUCCAGCAUUUUAUUUCUCUUUACCAGACAACUAAAAGGAUGUGGCUGUCUAAAUUGUUCACAAUGCUUUUGCCACAGUCAGAGACCAACAACUUAAGUCAGUUUGUCUCAUAUUGAUUUUUCACUUCCCCGUGUAGCUGUACUUUAGCCAUUCUCUGAGACCUAUAAAUCAGCUUCUAGGAAUGCAACCCCCCCCCCCCCCGCACCCGCCGAAAUGAAUGGCAGCCAUUCACCCAC